GGGCACCCUGACCAGCGACGCCGCGUGAGGGAAGAAGGCCUUCGGGUCGUAAACCUCUUUUGUACGUGAAGAAGCAGAUGACGGUAGCGUACGAAUAAGUCCCGGCUAACUACGUGCCAGCAGCCGCGGUAAUACGUAGGGGACGAGCGUUGUCCGGAAUUACUGGGCGUAAAGGGCGCGCAGGCUGCGCGUCAAGUCGGCUGUUAAAGAUGCGGGCUUAACCCGGUGAAGCGGUCGAGACCGACGAGCUGGAGUGCUGCAGAGGCAAGUGGAAUUCCCGGUGUAGCGGUGAAAUGCGUAGAUAUCGGGAAGAACACCGGUGGCAAACGCGACUUGCUGGCCUCAACUGAGCCUCAGGCUCGAA
rnacentral:rRNA from 1 species